UUCUUUAUGUCACAUUCAGCUUAAAUAGCUUUUGUGAGCGCUCCAGUGUCACUCUAAUGUUUUGCUGCGGUGUGAUACCAGGUGUUUUGAAUAUAUGGAAAGAUUCUCACUUUAACAUGAAGGAGAGGAGCAACUCUGGAAAAAAAAACACAUAAAUCUAUGGGUCACAUGGGAAAUGAAAUGCCCUUUGAUUUGCCCGCCCACGUUGUCCCAGCAAUUAAUUUCACAUGAUUAGGCAGGUUAAAUCUACUAUAAUCCUGUGAGGUUCAUCUUGUGGAUUACUUUAAAAUGGGAUGACUCAACCACUCCAGUUUCCUCUAAGCAGAAGAGAACUUCUGUGGAGAGACACAUAAUUGAUAUUUAAAGCGUUAUGUAAUGAACAGGCAGCUCUAAAUUAUUGUACUUAGUGGCUCCAAAGCGGCUUCCUUGAUUUCACAGUUCUGGAACAAAUCACAUAAUUGAGUGCUAAACCAGACCAGGCUAAUUUAUGCUUUUUCUGUGUGCCAUAAAAACCAGAAAACUGCCAUUAAAAUUCAGAUGAUUUGGAUUAAAUUAACAAAAUAUCAUUUUACACAGGCAUAUUUCUUCCAAGAGGAUAAUCUGACUGAUUUUUUUUUUUUUUUCUUUUUUGAGCAUUAAUGUCUUUGUCUAGGACUGGCAGGCGUCAACCCCAUGACGACCCCACCCACUGCUUCACUGUGAACAGGCAGAAUUGAAACAUUAUCUCCCGCCUCAGAUUUAAAUUAAAGCCAUGACAAGAAGAAAGGGGGGGACCUUCCAGCCACCGCUUCCAUUGCUCACACUCGACUGGCAUAUGGGCAGCAUCAGGAAACACAAGCUGCAAUGAUGUGACGACCAACUGACCCCGGGGUGACAGGUUUGGAGGGUGUUCUUGCCCAAUGCCCUCAGGCCAAAGUCAAGUAUGUCAAUGUUGUGCAUGUGGAUUUCAUUUGAAACAGCAUGAUUCGUUCACAGACGCUCAACUGCAACCCCCCCCCCCCCACAUGGGAAACCCACUCUUGACAGGAAACGGUAUGUUUUUGUUAGCAACAAACAGGCAUAAAUUACUAAAAUGGAGCCUCAGUUGCCAAUUUAUCACACACAGCCUUAUUGUUGCUGCUUGCACACAUUUGACAUCGACACUGCUUUUAAGGUAAUUACAAUUAGUUAAUGAUAUUUACAUUCCUGAUCAUUUAUUUCGAACUGUGUCUACAAUCAUGAAUUUGUGCAAUAAAUGUGAUAAUUGUU